GACGCGCGGAACGUCACCCCGCGCGUGGCAGCCCUUUGGCUUCUGCGGUUUAUUUUAGUUCGCGAGUUGCGCCUGCCGGGCGUGCGGGUUACCGGCGCUCUCUAGCUUCUGCCUUUUCCCGGGGGGGGAGGAAGAAGUGCUGUUGAAAAUGUUACGCAAAUAAAUGCCUUUCCCCUCAUAUAAAGCCCGAAUGCGUGUCCCGCAGAUAAGUCCCUGCAUGUCUCCACCUUGGGGAGAUGACCUUUGAGACGCUGUCCUCCACCUCCUGAGAUCAUGGGCUCCAGGCUAACCGUGAUUUCCUGCCAUCAGCUCGUGUGUCUGGAGUUCGGCUUUUGAGCACAAGGACCCCUGACUCAGACCACAGCCCUGGGCAGCUGCUGGGAGACAGUGGAAGCCAAAGAUAAAAAUCUGUCAACCUGACCGGGCCACAGGGUACCCAGACAGUGGACGAAUCGCUGUUCCUGGUAUUGCUGUGAGGAUGUUUCUGGAUGAGAUGAACGUUUGAGCAGCAGACCGAGAGGAGCAGAUUGCUGUCCCUCAGGUCUUCGGCCUGCUGGCUUUGGGCUUCUCCUGGUUCUCAGACCUUUGGACUUAGACUGGACCUAAGCCAUGGAUUCUCACGGGUCUCUAGCCUGCUGAUUGCAGACGCUGGGAUGUCCCACGCGCCAGGUUCAUGAUUGCCUCCUCUCAUCUGUGGACGUGUGAACCGGGGACAAGGAAGGCGGUGGAAAUACAGAGACAUUCUCAACAAAUGAUGCAGAAAGUGUAACUGUUAGAGCGAGGGUACGUGUGACUGUCGUUUAUAAAGUGCCAUUAAAGUUGAAUUGAAAAAUUACUUUUCUGGAAAAAAAACUACAUGAUUAACACAGUUUAUGGAGAGAAUGAAAUGGUAAUGACACAUCUUAGUUCAGUAAUUGUGCUACUAAAUUAAUGUCAACGUGUUGGCCUGGAGCCCACAGGUAGAGAAUUUGUGGAACUAUCUCCUCGAGAACCUUCUGAUUUAAAGGCGGCAGCCGUGCAGCGCUCCAGGGCCCUCUGCAGGUUUUCGCCCAUUUAAAAUUGUAUUAAAGAAGUGGCAGCUGGAGUGAGAGUCAUGUCGAUGAAGCCCCCUCUCCUGCACAUCAGUUAAAAGAACUACCAGGCAGCGCGGAGGCAGACCAUGCAACUUGCCCUGGCUCUGCACCCAGAAGACAAUCAAUACAUAUUUAUUUGUUUGGUGAAUAAGUGAUGGUUAAAAGUGACAACAUGAUAUUUCAUUUGCAAGCAGCGUGCAGCACGCCAAUAUUGCUCCUGACGAAAAAGGACAUGUGCUCAAACUCUCAGGCAGAUAUUGGCCCCAGGAGCUAAGUGGUAGGAAGCAAGCGCUGUGUCUGGGUGGGGGGUGGAGUGGGGAGCUAGUCCCCCCGCCCCCCACCUCUGGGGCCCUUGAGGGAGUGGGAGUUGGGGCCGAGGGGGCAAGGAGCCGGUGAAGGGCAGCUCUAGAAUCCUGAGAACUUGAACAGGUGCAGAUUUGGAAGGACUUCACUGACCUGCCUCAAGCCUCUCUAAAGCUGCAAACCCGGUUGCUUCCGGCAACCACUUCUCAGCUCCUGAGGGCUCAUUACCAUGGCCUGCUGGUCUGGUUGGGGAAGGAGGAGUUAGCAGGGCAAGCAGGAAUCCUGGGUUAGGUGAGUGCCUGCCCUGCAGACCACCCCCCUCCUCAUGUAAGAUUAAACACAAUGAGAACACACAAAAGUGUAAGAAAAAGUCCACUGCUAUGUAUUUCCUUAGAUGACUUUUUAAAAAUCCUACAAAUUCUUUCUACAAAAUUUGCUCAGUGCUUUUAGUGCCAUGAACACAUGCCUGAUGGGUUUAUCCAGGGUCUGGAGAUGGAGCAUUCACAAAGGAAACAUACACAUGCAUACGUAGAUUCAACAGAAAAAAAUAAAGAAGGUAGGGCCCUGCCUUCAGGCCUGGCUGC